GGGUGCCUACGGGACGCAGCAGUGGGGAAUAUUGCACAAUGGGGGAAACCCUGAUGCAGCAACGCCGCGUGAAGGAAGACGGUUUUCGGAUUGUAAACUUCUUUUCUUAGUGAAGAAGCAAGUGACGGUAGCUAGGGAAUAAGCAUCGGCUAACUACGUGCCAGCAGCCGCGGUAAUACGUAGGAUGCGAGCGUUAUCCGGAAUUACUGGGUGUAAAGGGAGCGCAGGCGGGACUGCAAGUUGGGUGUGAAAUACCGCAGCUUAACUGCGGAGCUGCAUCCAAAACUGUAUGUCUUUAGUGGAGU
rnacentral:rRNA from 1 species